rnacentral:tRNA from 1 species
GAUAAUAGUUAAUUAUAACAUUUGAUUUGCACUCAAAAAGUGCUGGAUAAUCGGCUUAUCUU